CCAAAGCUAAGCACUCUUUAAGUCCUAUUGAUUUCCAUGUUUGCUUAAUUCUUCCACUGAAAUUAUUGGGACUUGAAAGUGCUUAGCUGUGU